rnacentral:tRNA from 1 species
AGAGGUAUAGCCAAGCGGUAAGGCAACAGGCUUUGAUCCUGUCAUUCUCUGGUUCGAUCCCAGAUACCUCUUCCA